GUCACAAGACCUGUCUGGGAAGUAUCAACAAAAUGCAGUGCAUUGUAGUCAUAUGGGUCAGGUUCAGCAGGUCCUGUGCAUGGAGGCAGCCCCACAGUGCACUCAGCAUGAAGAACCAGCCAAAGGAAAUUCUGCCUGCAGAUCUGUGCUGGUUACAGCAAAGGAGGAACUUUCGAGGGCAAGUCAGAGAAGAUGGUAGACACGUUUUACCCAGUGCUCUCGUCAUUCCUGGUGCACACAUCCCUGCUUGCUGCUGUUUGCUACAUGACAUACCAGCCUGCAGCUGGUAGUGAACCUGAACACAGCAAGGCAUGCUGCAGCUAAUUAUUUAGGAUUUUCAUAAACAUCUACUUUGGGGAAAAGACUAUUGUCAUUCUAAGGCUUGGGACCAAAAUUUUGAUGAAAAUAUGGAGGUUUUCUGGUUGUGUCACCCACAUUUUCCAAGCCACUUAUGUUUUUCUUCCACAGUUAAAAUGCACUAAGUACAUUUGAGAUUCUCAAAAGAUAUGAAGAGAGACCCAGGAAGGAUUUUUCAUUAAAGGAGCAGUAUUUUAACAACACGGAGAAGGAAACAGAUGCAUGAACUACUCCAGUUUCAACAGAGAAAAAAUACAAGUACAAGUACGUGAUGUGAGAACUCGACAAUUUGUAAUCUGGAUAAUCUUUGGAGUACAAGGAGCAAGUGGUAUUUAAAACAGAACCUCAUAGCCAACCUUGCCUGGAGCUACUUUUGUCAGAACAGCUGGAAUUGUGUUAAUUGUAGUUCUUAUAACCAUCACUGUAAUUAACUACUGCCUCUUCUGCAGAGAAGAAAAACAUGAUGGCCAUUUAAAUAAGUCAAACAAAAAGGUCAGAAAAACUAUUAUUAUUCAUGGACUGCAAAUGAAUUUGCAUCUUCUGCUACUUCUGAUAACAGCUGUUGGAAGACACCCUGAAAACACUGUUUUACAGUUUUUCUUAUUUUAUUAUUUGCACUAUAUUUUAAACCUACGGUUGAUGGUCAGAGAAACAAAGAGCUGCAAACCAAGUUAUUCAACAGGCACUUACCACAUGGCAACUCUAUUGACACGGCAGCUAUUUAGUUUAUUGAGUGACUGAUCCUGUAUCUAAAACUCUAACUCUUCCACCUUCUAAAAAUUAUGAUCGUCAGCACUGUAAAAUAAAGAAGAAAGAAAGACUUGGAUAUCCUGCACAAAGUGUUUUUAUGGCACUGGCUGGAACUUAAAGGAAGUUGUACUGGUUGACUCCUUUAACAAUUUUCAUAUCCUUAUUAUUAUAACCCUACUACUAUGAAGCUUACUAUGAAACAAGAUCUAGCAGCAGGAGGAGUAUGAGCUGCCAUCUGGGAAUGCUGCAGGUUUGCCAAAGGAGAUCUAAACCAGGAUUUAUUUUAAAAGAAAUGAAAACCUACUUUCACUGGGCUGUAGUAAAAAUGAUGAUUAUAGAGAAUAUGAUGGAAUCCAUCUGAAGGUAACCACUGUUAGAUAGGAAAAUAACAGCAGUAGAGUAAGUUCCAAUUACAGCCUUUCCAAAUGCAAAAUCAACUUGCAGAACCAAGUUUCAGAACUGUUUUUAAUAUCUGAAAAUAUGCACACUAUUUUGUCUUUACUCGUUACAUUUAGAACAAUUAAGUUUUAUUAAGAUUUUAGCGAGCUACCAUUUUUUUGUGAUUUUUUUCCCUUUUACUGUUGAAUUCUGAAAUAUGUCAAAAAGUAGGAACACAAAAUCUUUUUGUUUAUUUAUUUAAAGCAAUGAGUUCUUGACCUAACCAUGCUGAUACAUUGUUCUUUUAAGACCUCUAAAACUGUACUUGAGGGAAGGACAUGAAUAUCUUUUUACCUCUUGCUUCCCCACAUUCACUGUAUGCCCUGGAAAGUCUAGAGGAUGCCUUCUGGAGUGAAGUAAAGCUAAUUAAAUCUUUGAGGUUUUAUAUUUAGAGAAGCUACCUAGACACAGAAAUCUGAAGAACUAGACUAAUUUUUUGUUGAAAAUUUUUCCAGCAUUGUCAACCCUGAGAGACCCAUUCAUAAAAUGAAUGAACUGUCAGUAUUUAAAUUAUUAUAGAACUAAAGGGAAGUGAAUCUGGUGUUCACUUGCCUUUUAACCUUUCAGGGUAAAGCAUAUCCUGAUGCUUUGAUAUAUAUCUCUGAAGCUAAAAAUCAUUUUCAAAUAAAUGCUAAUACUCUUCCUAGUAAUAGGAUCCCAAAUCCUGUCCCGUGAUACUAUGAUGAGGGGAAAAAAAGUUGCACUGUACUUCAGGAUAAAGUUUCAGUAACUGCUGCAUUACUGUAUCAUUCACUACAUAUUGACAUGCUUAACUUGUGACAUUUAAAUUUGAAAGUAGUGGCCUUGUGUAUAAGGUCUUACUUUUGCAGAUCCAACAAGCAGAUGAAAAAGGAGGAGAAAAAGACUGCUUGUUUAGCAGUGAGUUUAGAUGAGCCAAUGAGAUCCUCCACUGUAACCUAAAGUACAAAAAAAAUGAGGAAGUAUGAGCCCAACCACUUGCCAGUCUCUUCCGUGAUCAGGCAGCAGAUUAGCUGUUUUCACCUUGGCCUUUCUUUUAGCUUAAUACUGUCAUAAGUACAGCCCAGGGACUGAAAACUAAAGCCAGCUGAUAACGAGUUCCACUUUCCCAGCUGGAAUGAGCCCUGAAUGUUAGGUAUGAGAGGGGGAAAGAAGUUUCCUGCCUCGCAGUAUAGCAUAAGGAGAGAAUGGUAUCCCGGUAAUGAC